rnacentral:rRNA from 1 species
UACGUAGGGUGCGAGCGUUGUCCGGAAUUAUUGGGCGUAAAGAGCUCGUAGGCGGUUUGUCGCGUCUGCUGAUGAAAACUGGAGGCUCAACCUCCAGCCUGCAGUGGGUACGGGCAGACUAGAGUGCGGUAGGGGAGAUUGGAAUUCCUGGUGUAGCGGUGAAAUGUGUAGAGAUCGGGAGGAACACCGGUGGCGAAGGCGGGUCUCUGGGCAUCUCCUGACGCUGAGGCGACGAAAGGCGUGGGGAGCGAACAGG